AAUUGUGUGGUGAAAAGUAAAAAAGACAAAGAUGGAUUUUCAGCUAUUUGCAUCCAGGAAAACAAGUUCAAAAUUUGUCACCUCAAAACAUUCUACCAGAAUGAAUUAGUCUCAGUUCUAUGGUAUUGUUGUGGUUCAUACAUUGCUCACCAUGCAAGCUGGCUGAAGCAUCAAGAAAAUGGCAGCUGUAUCUCUCAGCUUUAUACUGGCUGGCAGCAGUUUUACAGCAUGGAGUGCAAUUACAAGGAGGACUUGCAGAGUGGUUAUCACAAUCAACCAAAGUUUGAGAAGCUCUUAAUAAAGAUAAUCCUCAUCUAAGCUAAAAGCAAAUUCAAAGAAGCUGUCUUAUGGGUGACAGAAGAAGCCAGAAUCUUGGCAGCAUGGGUGGCGGCAGCUGCAUGCUCAACCUGAAAGUAAUGGGGCUUUCUGCAUCCAAGUUACUGGACACAGUAGAGGCUGGUGGAAAGCACAUUCAUCAUACAAAGGAAGCCUGAACUUAAAAUACCAUAGUAUCUUCAAAAAUGGCAUUAUCCAUCUGGGAAGGAUCCUGUGACCACGUUUCAUCUGUCUUCAGACUGAUGUAAAGCAUAGAGGUAAACAUGCCUCUGAAACAGACCAGACCUUGGCUUUUUUUGUGGCAUGUUUGAAAAGACUUCUAACCUGGCCUUGAGCCCUAGAUUUUUUUUCCACACAGUGUGAAUGAGAUGUGAAUAUAUACAAGGCUGAGUUUAACUCCAAAAUACUGUGCUGGACAUUGUUGAGGGUGCAGUGUUAGAUUGCAGAGAUAGUAUCCAGCAUCCCACAGAAUUUAGGAUUGUAUUUUACAAGAGGCAUGAUAUCUAAUUGUCAUUUAUGUUUCAAGUGUAAUCUGCUAGAGUGAUUUAUGCAUCUCUUAGUUUUAUUCGCAAAUUUGCUCUGGGAGGCUCUCAGAUACAAUUUCUUAAUUAUUUGUUUGGACAGAUUGAUCUGCAAGUUUGGAAUGUGAAGUUUCAGACUUCUUUUAAAUACUUGUUCUUUCAAGCACGUGUAGUUAAGACUACCACUAGACAUCUAAAACACUAAUCCCUGUGUUUGCAUAACUAUUUAAGAUAGAGAGAGAAGAAAGGUCUUAAUGUCGACAGUGAGAAAAGCGAUGCCUUUUUUAGUGAGAGAUUUGACAGAAAAGGGAAAUGCAAAGGUUUGAGUUAGUAGUGAUAGGUGAGGAAGGCUGAAAUAGAACCCAUACAGAAGAAAUACAGAAAUUAUGGGGAGACUGAGAUAUGGCCCAGAUAUCUAACAGAAGUAAUUUGAGAAAGGGGGAAAAGCAGAACAGUUCAUUGACUAUGUACAACUAAUUAUAAGUGUAGAAAACGGAUAAGGAGUUUGAUGAAACUCAGUUGAAAGGUCUGUCAGGAUCAGGUACCCUUGCCCAGGAGAAAUACCUGAAUUCUCUACACUCUCAGGUUGCAGUAAGGUUCCUGAUUCACAGCUUCACAC